GAGAGAGCAUGGUACAUUCUUGAAUACCCACAUGAGAAGAGGAAAAACAUUCGUGAUUCCAAUUUUGACAAUCUGUCUAUAAUAGUCACUGAUUUAAAAAAGUGUAAUUCAUUUAUUCAGAUUUGCUUAGAGGUUUCAAUUGCACAACAAUGAAUACGCGCAUAUUAUAGAUUAUAUGGUGACCAGGUGGCCCGCUUUGCGUUCUACUACACAGCAUUUUGACCCUUUGUCCCGUAUCUCGCAAAGUGAGGAAAUGUCCCGCAUUUUCAUUGGUCAUUUGGUUUUAUUUGUUAGAAAUAAUUACACAAGGAUGCGUUUUUUACCCGCCGUCAUAUGAUUCGCUCAUGUCGUUGCUGCAUACUGCAUUUAUACUCGCUACGUCAAAAGCAGCAACCUGGCUCAUACAAAUGCAACAUAGCCAAGCUUUCCGAAAGCCUGGCUUUAUCCAGUGACAGAGAAAAGAUCAGUGAAGGCGGCCAGCAAGAGUCUGUGACGGCUGUCAAUUAAACUGUGCAGUGUGACCGGUGAACUCCUUUUCUAGGUCACUAAAACCAAACUGAGACAAACUUUGAAGAUAAAGUAAUAACUACCAGGCAGCAUCAUGGUUCAUAAUCUUUCAUAUAGCAAAAUAUGUAGCCUGAUUCUUUCAUGGCCUAGCUGGUGUGCUGUGGAAUCGACUUAAGGCAUAGUACUGUAUCUGUUCUAGGACACACACACUACAGCUGAAACUGACCCCGUCUGCACAGAUGCUCUCCGCAUCAGCUAGCUGGAAGGAGCUGUCAGAUAAUCAUCUGAUGCUCCUGUCUUAGUGGAAACAGAGCUUGAGUCAAGUCCUCUGAUAAACACUCUUGGUUCUCCCAGUGACAAAGGAGAGCCAGAAUAACACGGAGAGGCUCAUGGAAACUCAAUCUUCCAUGAGGACAGAAGAGGCCAUUGAAAGACUCAGCCAGCAGAAGCGUGCCACUGGGUUGCACCAUGUAUGCAGACUGCUGCACACCACAGAAAUCUGAACUUAGCUCCCAAACAGUCUUGGUUUUUCAACCUCAGUUGUACUGGAUCAGAAUCCAGUUGACAUUUUCUGGCAGGUGCAAAAUGACUAACUGCUUAAUAUUAGCAACUGAUGUAUGUUUAGAGGCACGGGAGUAUACAGUUCAUAUUAUAAAUGGUAUGACUAUUACGAGGCACAUUUUCCUGGACUAAUUCAGAAUGUUUGUCAUGAACAUUUUUAUGC
ensembl:lncRNA